rnacentral:rRNA from 1 species
GUGCCAGCAGCCGCGGUAAUACGUAGGUGGCAAGCGUUAUCCGGAAUUAUUGGGCGUAAAGCGCGCGUAGGCGGUUUUUUAAGUCUGAUGUGAAAGCCCACGGCUCAACCGUGGAGGGUCAUUGGAAACUGGAAAACUUGAGUGCAGAAGAGGAAAGUGGAAUUCCAUGUGUAGCGGUGAAAUGCGCAGAGAUAUGGAGGAACACCAGUGGCGAAGGCGACUUUCUGGUCUGUAACUGACGCUGAUGUGCGAAAGCGUGGGGAUCAAACAG